rnacentral:rRNA from 1 species
UACGUAGGGGGCAAGCGUUGUCCGGAAUCAUUGGGCGUAAAGAGCGUGUAGGCGGCCUGAUAAGUCGGCUGUGAAAGUCAAGGGCUCAACCCUUGAAUGCCGGCCGAUACUGUCAGGCUAGAAUCCGGAAGAGGCGAGUGGAAUUCCUGGUGUAGCGGUGAAAUGCGCAGAUAUCAGGGGGAACACCUAUGGCGAAGGCAGCUCGCUGGGACGGUAUUGACGCUGAGACGCGAAAGCGUGGGGAGCGAACAGG